AACGCAACUUACAUCGCAAUUUUUUAGAAAAGCUGCCCCGAAUUCAGGCAUUUUCGGCCGCAACAAUCUCGAAAAACGCCCACGAAAUCCUGGAAGGAUUGUUUAUGGGUGCAGCAGCAGAACAUUUUCCACAGACAGUUUUCCUGCUCGUUGGCUUGUUUUAACCAGUUUUCUGCCUUCGGCUGAUUCUAACAGCAGACACAAAGGACUCUGAUAGUUAGGUGUCUCAUGUUCACAGUGAGGAUCUUCUGAGUGAAGCCACCAGAAGGAAAACCUCAUCUGGAUGUGAAGAAGGAGACUGAAUGGACGACAUCCUCAAGUGAAAGUAGCAGUUCCUCCUGAAGGUCAGUGAUUGCAGCAUCUGAGGGCCUCUUCAAAAGAAGACGUAGUUGAUGAAGGCGUUCUGGAGCAGGACCAGAAAGACCACGACCAAGCAGCCUUGAGAUCUUAGGCAGCGUCUCCCUCAGACCAAAGAACUACAGACUCUUCACAACCUGCUCAAACUCUUGGUACAGGACCUCACCACACGGGUCAAGAAGGUUUCCAUCUCAUUUCUACUCUGAAGCUCACCUUCUCCUGCUCAAACUGCUGACAAAUGUUUCUGCUGCUCUAAAGUCUGGUCUCCAGAACUUCCUAAAAACUCUCAAAGUCUCUGCUGCUGCAGGUUGCUUUGUAGAACUGUUGCAGAAAACCUCACUAAACCACAUGGAGGGGCCUCAAGAUAGUCGUCCAAAUGAAACCAUACAAAAACCAAACUAGCACAACCCAAACGCUAAAGUCUCCUGCAGCCUACCAGAGAAGUUCUGAGAACAGAGAAUCAGGACAGAAACUCUUACCUUCUGGACAACCAAUGCUGGUUCUCAAACAAGAAUACAGAAUGUGUCUGACCAAAAACCUCUGAAGACUCACUACAGCCAAGAUAAAGACACAACUCACCUGCACCAAAUCCACUAAUCACUGCACACAUUAUCACCAUGUGCUAACUGCGGCUAAAGAACCACCUUUACCAAGACAACUAUCCAGUACAAAGCCCUAAAACACACCAAAAAACACAUUAAAGACGAUUUUACUGCUGGAAGCUGCAAGCCAACGCCUAAAGAACAAACUAAGCAACGGAGCCAAACCCAGCUCAGUGGUGAAGAGAAACAGAGGAAAUGUUUGUCUGCAGCUAAACAAAGCAGGAAGACACUGAGCUGCUCAGGUGUUCCUGAUAAUACCAAUCAGCCACCUGGACAGCCAAUAGGAACACAGCUUCCUGGAAGUCCAGAGGGCUGGCUUAGUCAAGGAAAUUUAGUUUAAAGUUGAAGCAGAAAGUUAACAAAAAGUUGAAAACCACCUUCUGAUACCUGAAAUCUCUGAGUUUUCACACAAAGAACGCCUGAACAUGUCAAACUGGUUCCAUAGUAGAACCAUCAUUGUAAAAACGUCAUAGUAUGGUGUGUUGCUCAAAAAACAUUACGACCUGGCUGUCUUGGGUCGCUGAGGAGCAACACAAAAACAGGACAAAUGCUGGUUUCCAGGGGGUUAGGAGGAUAUUUAUUUGAAAGAGGAAGUUUACAACAACACGUGUGCAGAAAAUGUCAUCCAAAUUGUGACAAAAACGUCAUAGUUUAGUAUGUUGUCCAAAAUGUAACAAAAAUGUCAUAGUUUAGUAUGUCGUCCAAAAUGUAACAAAAUGUCAUAGUUUAGUAUGUGCUUCAAAAUAUGACAAAAACGUCAUAGUUUAGUAUGUGGUCCAAAAUGUGACAAAAAUGUCAUAGUUUAGUAUGUGGUCCAAAAUGUGACAAAAACUUCGUAAUUUAGUAUGUUGUGCAAAAUGUGACAAAAACGUCAUAGUUUAGUAUGUUGUCGAAGAUGUAAUAGUUUAGUAUGUCGUCCAAAAUGUGACAAAAACGUCAUAGUUUAGUAUGUGGUCCGAAAUGUGACAAAAACGUCAUAGUAUAGUAUGUGGUCCAAAAGGGGAAAAAUGUCAUAGUUUAGUAUGUCGUCCAAAAUGUCGCUAAAACAUCAUAGUUUAGUAUGUCAUCCAAAAUAUAGCAAAUGGGUGCCCAGGUAGCUCAGCUGGUUGAUAGGGUGACUCGUAAACAGGACUCUGUCAGACAUAGGUUCGAUUCCAGCUCAUAGCCCUUUACUGCAGGUCUUCCUCUUAGCUUACGUAUUGGUGAAAGAGUCCAAAAAAUAACUUUUAAAAAAACAUCAUUGGCUGUCUUCUUAAAUGUGGAAAAAAGUCAUAGUAUGUAGUCCAAAAUGUGGACAAAACGUCAGUUUAGUAUGUCGUCCAAAUUGUAUUAAAAAAACGUAAUAGUUUCUAUACUAUUCUAAACUAUGACAUUUCAGUCAACUGAGCAGCCUUGGCGGAGUACUGCACUCUCUGAGUGCUUUUCUAAUUUGUUUGUGUGUUUAUUUGUGGAAGAAUAUAGAAACACAUGAAAACAUUUUACAGCUUUUUUUUUUUAUCUUUCUUAAAUGGUUAGCUUAGCUUAGUUUAGCUUAAAUUAGCAUAAAGACUGGAGCUAUCGUCACUAUCUAAAGAAAAACAGUUUCAUUUAUAGAGAGGCAGCUUUAUACAGAUUUAUUAGUAAUAUGUGAAAUAUAAAUAAUGCUUUAGAGAUGCUUGAGGGCAGAUUUUUGUCCUCUUCUCAAAAGAACCAGGCUAGCUUUUAGUACCCUAUCAUUAGCAUUAGCAAAUGGCUACUAAAAGUGACGGCCAAACAGAUGACUACCAUUAUCAUUGUUAGGUUGUGGUCGUAGCGGUAUUAUUUCACCAGCACAGCCACCAUGAAGUUUUGAUUUUAUUGUAUUUUCUAGCAUGUAUUUUUGGCACUGUUCUUUUUUUCUAUCGGUCUUCAGAGAUGAAAGAUUAUUUAUCACAUCUUGGUUCAUUCAACAGAAGUGAAAUAAAUGGUAACUCUAGCGAAAUCUAAGAGAAAUCCAAGAGAAAAACACGCCUGUUUUCAAAUCCAAAGUCGUAGUUAGUCUGAGGGGCUUUCAAAGACUGAAGGCCAGUGUAUUAAAAAUCAAUCCGGUGUAUCUAUGGAUGUACAGAAACAUAUCACAGUAGUACUUCAGUACUGAGAAAAAGCUGUUUUUAUGACCUAAGGAGAAACUUUAUUGCAAGUGGGUGUUUGCAGUUCAUACACGACGGACAACACAGAUAUUAUCACUGGUGGAUAAUAAAAUAAUAAAAUCUAAAAUAUGUGUAUCAUGUCUGUGUGCUCAGAUUUAACAGUUAUGACUCUAACUCUGGCAAUCCUAGGCUUUAAGGACUUCUUCAUACCUGUUGUGUGCUUCUGCUCAAUACUGACCAAACUACUGCAAUAACCAGCAGUAGAGGAAGUAUUCAGGUCCUUUACUAAUUUAAAGGUAUUCAUACCACACCCAAAAAAUACUCUGUUACAGGUUAAAGUCCUGAACUGAAGCAUUCAAAUA
ensembl:lncRNA